rnacentral:rRNA from 1 species
AGUGAACGCUGGCGGUAGGCCUAACACAUGCAAGUCGAACGGCAGCACAGGAGAGCUUGCUCUCUGGGUGGCGAGUGGCGGACGGGUGAGGACUACAUCGGAAUCUACUUUGUCGUGGGGGAUAACGUAGGGAAACUUACGCUAAUACCGCCUACGACCUACGCGUGAAAGAAGCGGAUCUUCGGACCUUGCGCGAUUUAAUGCGCCGGUGUCGGAUUAGCAAAUUGGCGGGGGAAAGGCCCACCAAGGCGGCGAUCCGUAGCUGGUCUGAGAGGAUGAUCAGCCACACUGGAACUGAGACACGGUCCAGACUCCUACGGGAGGCAGCAGUGGGGAAUAUUGGACAAUGGGCGCAAGCCUGAUCCAGCCAUACCGCGUGGGUGAAGAAGGCCUUCGGGUUGUAAGGCCCUUUUGUUGGGAAAGAAAUCCAGCUGGUUAAUACCCGGUUGGGAUGACGGUACCCAAAGAAUAAGCACCGGCUAACUUCGUGCCAGCAGCCGCCGCGG